ACGCGUUGGGAGCUCUCCAUAUGGUCGACCUGCAGGGGCCGCGAAUUCACUAGUGAUUAGAGUUUGAUCAUGGCUCAGAUUGAACGCUAGCGGCAUGCUUAACACAUGCAAGUCGAACGGUAACAGGCCUAGCUUGCUAGGUGCUGACGAGUGGCGGACGGGUGAGUAACGCGUAGGAAUCUGCCUUCUAGUGGGGGAUAACUUGGGGAAACUCAAGCUAAUACCGCAUAAGCCCUAAGGGGGAAAGCAAGGGACAGUGAUGCCUUGUGCCAGAAGAUGAGCCUGCGUCGGAUUAGCUAGUUGGUAGGGUAAAAGCCUACCAAGGCGAUGAUCCGUAGCUGGUCUGAGAGGAUGACCAGCCACACUGGGACUGAGACACGGCCCAGACUCCUACGGGAGGCAGCAGUGGGGAAUAUUGGACAAUGGGCGAAAGCCUGAUCCAGCAAUGCCGCGUGUGUGAAGAAGGCCUGCGGGUUGUAAAGCACUUUCGGUAGGGAAGAAGGCCUUAGUGUUAAUAGCACUAAGGAUUGACAUUACCUACAGAAGAAGCCCCGGCUAACUCUGUGCCAGCAGCCGCGGUAAUACGAAUCG
rnacentral:rRNA from 1 species